rnacentral:rRNA from 1 species
GAUGAACGCUGGCGGCGUGCCUAAUACAUGCAAGUCGAGCGAACAGACGAGGCGCUUGCUCCUCUGACGUUAGCGGCGGACGGGUGAGUAACACGUGGAUAACCUACCUAUAAGACUGGGAUAACUUCGGGAAACCGGAGCUAAUACCGGAUAAUAUAUUGAACCGCAUGGUUCAAUAGUGAAAGACGGUUUUGCUGUCACUUAUAGAUGGAUCCGCGCCGCAUUAGCUAGUUGGUAAGGUAACGGCUUACCAAGGCGACGAUGCGUAGCCGACCUGAGAGGGGGAUCGGCGACACGAGAGCGGGAACAGGGUCAAGGCUACUACGGUAGGCGGCAGAAGGGAAUGUGCCGCAAUAGGCGAAAGCCUUACGGAGCAACGCCGCGUGAGUGAUGGAGGUCUUCGGAUCGUAAAACUCUGUUAUUAGGGGAAAACAAAUGUGUAAGUAACUAUGCACGUCGUGACGGUACCUAAUCAGAAAGCCACGGCUAACUACGUG